CUAAGUCCUUUAUAGAGGCAAUGUGAAGGCACUGUAACUAUGGAAACAUUAUAAAGCAGUUAUAAAUAUCAGCACACGCCGUACAACUAAAAUUACAUCCCAAGCACACUUAGCAUAGACGGCCUCUGGGACACUCUGUCAAUUUAUUUAGCUUCUAACACAAGAUUUAGGUAAACUACACAGAUAAUUAUGCACAAAUCAUAAAUGUAAACAAAUAUAUAUGCUUUUUAAUGGCGGUUUAUUUUUACUCAGAAAAAACCUGAGGUAAAAUGUUAAAAGGGUUACAUAUUAGGGCUAAUCAAAAACCUGAGGUAAAAAGUUGUUCAUGUUUGUUACAUAUUAUGAUUAUUGAAAACCUGAGGUAAAGUGUUUCAAUUAGCAGUAACAUAUUAUGAUUAUUGAAAACCUGAGGUAAAUGUUAAUUUAAGUUAGCAAUGUUAAAUGUUAGGACUAUUGAAACCCUGAGGUCAAAUGUUGUUUAAAUUAGCAAUGUUAUAUAUAAGGACUAUUAAAUCCCUGAGGUGAAAUGUUAUUUAAGUUAGCAAUGGUAUAUAUUAGGACUAUUAAAUCCCUGAGGUAAAAUGUCGCUUAAAUGAGCAGUUAUAUAUUAGGACUAUUGAAACCCUUAGGUAAAAUGUUGUUUAAAUUAGCAGUGUUGUAUAUUGGGACUAUUGAACCCCUGAGGUAAAAUGUUGUUUAAUUAGCAAUGUUAUAUAUUAGGACUAAUUAAAUCCCUG
ensembl:lncRNA